UACGUAGGGUGCAAGCGUUAAUCGGAAUUACUGGGCGUAAAGCGUGCGCAGGCGGUUUUGUAAGCCAGAUGUGAAAGCCCCGGGCUCAACCUGGGAAUGGCAUUUGGGACUGCAAGGCUGGAGUUUGGCAGAGGAGACUGGAAUUCCUGGUGUAGCAGUGAAAUGGCGUAGAUAUCAGGAGGAAUACCGAUGGCGAAGGCAGGUCUCUGGGCUAUAACUGACGCUCAUGCACGAAAGCGUGGGGAGCGAACAGG
rnacentral:rRNA from 1 species